UGUUUUGAAUCCUGAACUCCUGCUAUGACUCAUACCCCUAUUUCUCCAAUUUGUUCAUCCAGGCGCUCCUGGAAGAUCACUUUAUUCCGUGCAUUUAUGGCAAUACUUAAUAAGCAUACUAUUAUUUGCAGUUUUGACUCAAGAACACAACUGAGAUUUCCAGCUCUCGUUUGCAGUGCCCAGGCAGUGAAACACAGAUAUACUAUAAGAGGAUCUUCCAAGCCUCCCAGAAGACUCAGUAUGUUUUCUACUUGUACAGGCUCAGCUCUGCCAACAGAGAAAGGAUCUCUGACUGUCCUGUUCAUGAGUUAG
rnacentral:lncRNA from 1 species